UAUGACCACAUCAUGUUGAAACACCAAUUCCUGUACGAUCACCAGUUAAGCAAUGUUGAGUCUGGUCAGUACCUAGAUGAGUGACCACUUGAGAAUACUAAGUGCUGUAAG